UACGGAGGGUGCGAGCGUUGUCCGGAAUCACUGGGCGUAAAGGGCGCGUAGGUGGCGACCCAAGUCGGUGGUGAAAGCUCGCCGCUCAACGGCGAGUCGGCCACCGAUACUGGGUUGCUCGAGCACUGUAGAGGCUAAUGGAAUUCCGGGUGUAGCGGUGGAAUGCGCAGAUAUCGGGAAGAACACCCGUGGCUAAGGCGGCUCUCUAGUACGGUACUGACGCUGAGACGCGAAAGCGUGGGGAGCGAACAGG
rnacentral:rRNA from 1 species